rnacentral:tRNA from 1 species
CCCAUGGUGGCCGAGACCUUAGGCACCGAGCUUUUAACUCGCUUACAGUUAUACACUCCAGGACA